rnacentral:rRNA from 1 species
CCUACGGGUGGCUGCAGUAGGGAGUUUUCGGCAAUGGGGGGAACCCUGACCGAGCAACGCCGCGUGAACGAGGAAGGUCUUCGGAUUGUAAAGUUCUGUUGUAGGGGAAUAAAGGUCGGAAGAAGAGAAUGUUUCCGAUUUGAAGGUACCCUGCCAGAAAGCCACGGCUAACUACGUGCCAGCAGCCGCGGUAAUACGUAGGUGGCAAGCGUUAUCCGGAAUUAUUGGGCGUAAAGAGUGAGCAGGCGGCCUUUUAAGUCUGAAGUCAAAUGCAGUGGCUCAACCACUGUCCGCUUUGGAAACUGAGAGGCUAGAGUACGAGAGAGGUAUAUGGAAUUCCAUGUGGAGCGGUGAAAUGCGUAGAUAUAUGGAGGAACACCAGUGGCGAAGGCGAUAUACUGGAUCGAUACUGACGCUCAGUCACGAAAGCGUGGGUAGCAAAUAGGAUUAGAUACCCUGGUAGUC